rnacentral:rRNA from 1 species
UACGGGGGGGCAAGCGUUGUUCGGAAUUACUGGGCGUAAAGGGCUCGUAGGCGGCCAACUAAGUCAGACGUGAAAUCCCUCGGCUUAACCGGGGAACUGCGUCUGAUACUGGAUGGCUUGAGUUUGGGAGAGGGAUGCGGAAUUCCAGGUGUAGCGGUGAAAUGCGUAGAUAUCUGGAGGAACACCGGUGGCGAAGGCGGCAUCCUGGACCAACACUGACGCUGAGUGAGCGAAAGC